ACAAUUAACACAGAAAAAAUGAAAAAAAGAGAAAAAAUGAUUUUAAUCGGAAUAUAUUCCCAGUUUGACUUUAGAGAAAUUUGAGAUAAUAUAUUGUGGAGCAUGAUGCCAAAUUAUCGCUGAGCAUCCAUUAGUUUAAACUUAAGUCACAUGAUUUUUGCUGGCUUACGCUUAUCCAGCAUGAUGCACUAAUCUCAUCGUAUCCGCACUUUUCACGUACCCAAACCAAAAAAAAAAAGGUAAAAAUAAAAAUAAAAA
rnacentral:lncRNA from 1 species